GUGGGGAAUAUUGGGCAAUGGGCGAAAGCCUGACCCAGCAACGCCGCGUGAAGGAAGAAGGUUUUCGGAUCGUAAACUUCUAUCCUUGGUGAAGAUAAUGACGGUAGCCAAGAAGGAAGCCCCGGCUAACUACGUGCCAGCAGCCGCGGUAAUACGUAGGGGGCAAGCGUUGUCCGGAAUGAUUGGGCGUAAAGGGCGCGUAGGCGGCCCGGUAAGUCUGAAGUGAAAGUCCUGCUUUUAAGGUGGGAAUUGCUUUGGAUACUGUCGGGCUUGAGUGCAGGAGAGGUAAGCGGAAUUCCCGGUGUAGCGGUGAAAUGCGUAGAGAUCGGGAGGAACACCAGUGGCGAAGGCGGCUUACUAAGCUACAACUGACACUGAAGCACGAAAGCGUGGGGAUCAAACAGGAUUAGAAACCCCUGUAGUCC
rnacentral:rRNA from 1 species